rnacentral:rRNA from 1 species
UACGAAGGGGGCUAGCGUUGUUCGGAAUUACUGGGCGUAAAGCGUAUGCAGGCGGAUCUUUAAGUCAGGGGUGAAAUCCUGAGGCUCAACCUCAGAACUGCCUUUGAUACUGGAGAUCUUGAGUCCGGGAGAGGUUAGUGGAACUGCGAGUGUAGAGGUGAAAUUCGUAGAUAUUCGCAAGAACACCAGUGGCGAAGGCGGCUAACUGGCCCGGUACUGACGCUGAGAUACGAAAGCGUGGGGAGCAAA